rnacentral:rRNA from 1 species
CAUAUGAUANNGACAUUUCCUACCUGUGUGUCUCGACCAAAUUACGUGCCAGCAGUCGCGGUAAUACGUGGGAGACUAGUGUUAUUCGUCUUAAGCAGGUAUAUAGGGUACCUAGACGGUCCUUUCAGCCCCUAAAGGGUACUGUUUGUACUAGAGUUUUAUGAGAGGGGGGGUGUACUAAUGGUGUAGAGAUGAAAUUCAGUCAUACCAUUAUGAACAGGCAACAGCGAAGGCAACCCUUUAUGUGUAAACUGACGUUGAAGGACGAAGGCUUGGUCCACCAAUAGGAUUAGAUACCCUAGCAGUCCAAGCAGACAAUGAUGAAUGUCAUAGACUGAAUAAUUCCAUAUGUUUAUGGUCGCAGUAAACAAUUAGGUUUGCUCCCACAUACAUAGAAUAUCUGGAAUUAAUAAUUUUGUCUAUAAAUGAAAGUGUAAGCAUUCCACCUCAAGAGUAACGUGGCAACGCGUAAACUGAAAUCAUUAGACCGUAUCUGAAACCAGUAGUGAAGUAUGUUGUUUAAUUUGAUAAUCCGCAAAAAACCUUACCACAAUUUGUAUGUUUAGAGAUAAAAUACAAGUGUUGCACGGCUGUCUUCAGUUAAUGUCGUGAGAUUUUGGUUAGUUCCAUUAAAUUAACGUAAACCCUUACUUUAUUUUAGUAAAUAGAGUAGUUCGCCGCUAUAUUGGAGAUGAUAACAGGGACUAAGACAAGUCAUCAUGGCCCGAAUAUUGUGGGCUAUA